rnacentral:rRNA from 1 species
UACGAAGGGUGCAAGCGUUACUCGGAAUUACUGGGCGUAAAGCGUGCGUAGGUGGUGAGUUAAGUCUGUCGUGAAAGCCCCGGGCUCAACCUGGGAAUGGCGAUGGAUACUGGCUCGCUAGAGUGCGGUAGAGGAGAGUGGAAUUCCCGGUGUAGCAGUGAAAUGCGUAGAGAUCGAGAGGAACAUCAGUUGCGAAGGCGGCUCUCUGGACCAGCACUGACACUGAGGCACGAAAGCGUGGGGAGCAAACAGG